rnacentral:rRNA from 1 species
AGUGAACGCUGGCGGCAGGCCUAACACAUGCAAGUCGAACGGCAGCACAGGAGAGCUUGCUCUCUGGGUGGCGAGUGGCGGACGGGUGAGGAAUAUAUCGGAAUCUACCCUUUCGUGGGGGAUAACGUAGGGAAACUUACGCUAAUACCGCAUACGAACUGAGGUUGAAAGCGGCGGACCGCAAGGCGUCGCGCAGAUGGAUGAGCCGAUAUCCGAUUAGCUAGUUGGCGGGGUAAAAGCCCACCAAGGCGACGAUCGGUAGCUGGUCUGAGAGGAUGAUCAGCCACACUGGAACUGAGACACGGUCCAGACUCCUACGGGAGGCAGCAGUGGGGAAUAUUGGACAAUGGGCACAAGCCUGAUCCAGCCAUGCCGCGUGUGUGAAGAAGGCCUUCGGGUUGUAAAGCACUUUUGUUGGGAAAGAAAAGCGGUCGGUUAAUACCCGGUCGUUCUGACGGUACCCAAAGAAUAAGCACCGACUAACUUCGUGCCAGCCGCCGCGGUAA